rnacentral:lncRNA from 1 species
GGCUAUAUAAGCCCAUCCCGAGCGCCUCCGAGCUCACCACCCACCUCACAACCCUCCUCUAGUCUUGCCUGGCCACUUCCCCGAGCCCGAGGACGCCUCGAGCCCUCCACUAGCCGCCAUGGCCGCCGCGGUGCUCCGCUUAAAUUCGGCCUAACCGAGUCCUCCCUCUUUUUUUGGUCGUCACCACUAGCCUCCCAACUCCAGCGCAGCCCUCCCUAGCUUCUCGUUUCCUCGCCGGAGCUCGUGUGGCCGCGACCCCAAGAUCAGCCUCGCCGCCCGAGCUCUCUGUUCCGCGAGUCGCCGUCGCCCCGUACCCUCUUCGGCGCUGAUAUUGCUCCAGGCGGGAGCGGCGAACUGUCCCGAGUCCACCGGUGGCCGGAGCUCGGCCGGAGACCACCGGGGCUGGCCCGGCCGUCGCCGGUGUCGCCCCUCCCCUGCUCCUCUGUUCUUCGCGUCGGGGAAGAAGAAGAAGGAGCCAAGAGAGGGAGAUGGAUAAGCCGGAAUGCGCCACGCUGACCUGGAUAACUGACAGGCCCCACCCGUGGGACCCGCACGUCAGCUGCUCAAGCCCCUGCCUCGCCUCUGCCACGUGUUUAACUGGAGGCGUAAAACACUCAGUGCAUUUCGCGUAAGGAAAGCGUGUUUAAUGCUGAUCCGUUUUCUUUUACUGAAAGUGUACCUCUGUUUCAGAAAAGAAUGCGUUUUCUUAAACAGAAAGCGUAUUUCUGACUUUACGCUUCUGCCUUAUCCACUCAGGGACUUGUUUGUGAUGAUAUUUUUGCAGAAAAGCCCCUGAACUUCAACCCUUCAUAUCUUUUUAAUCACAACUCCAAAUCAGGUGAUUCCAAAACCCAAGUCUUCGUUUCGUCGAGCCCGUUCUGUUGGUUUCAUUUUCAGUAUGGUUUGAUACUGUCAAAAUGACCUUUUUGUCCUUGCAUGUAAACAGCCCCUCCGAGAGAGAAUUGUUUCUGGCAAAUCUUUCCGCGGCUUCACCGCACUUCUCCCCUGAGCCUUCUUCACCCCCAGGCAAGCCACAAUACCCACUUGCAUGAUAGUCAUGCAGUAGCCAUGGUUUUCAACUUCAAUAUUUAUUAAAUGAUUGCUUGUUUAAAAUAUUGUUAUCGUUGUUUCGGAAAUGCUUCUAGGAUUGUGCUUACUUGUUUGCUAUGUUGUUAUGCACCUGGUUAUCAUGCCCUGCUAGUUGCUAGUAUUACUUUCAUAUUGCCAUGCUUGAUAGUAGUACAUGUUGGGUUGGUCAUGCUCUUCGGUGCAUGACUAACGUCGGUUACCGAGUACUGUUAAUAGGCAUUGUUCCGUUGCUGUUAGUUGGUUAAGUGUUACUCGGUGAUGUUAUUGAUAAGUUCCUGCAUGUUAUUUAUGGUUGAUGCUAGUGGUCAUGUUAUGUUAUACUAUGAGUAGUGUUGCACUUGUAAUAUUUAUGCUCGUCAUUAUGCCAUGUUCAGUUGGAGAUUAUUUCAUAGUUGAUGUGGUGGAUAGUUAUGUUGCAUCCCGUGAUUAUGUUGAUAUCAUGCUCAUGCAUUGUCAUUGCAUCAUGUUAUUUUAUCAUGGCUCAGCAUUUUGCAUUCAAGUUUAACCGGAUUUAAUUGAACUUGAACAACUGUUGGCUGAGUCAUGGUGCCGCCAGAUCGAAACUGACCAGUGCAACCACGCUUACCUUAUGGGCUAGGUCCUAACUGGGUCUAUUGUCGUGCAUCUCGCCGGUGCCUCCCACGAGGGAAGGUUAUGGGUGUGCUUACCUUGAUCAAGUAGGCGGACAUAACCUUGUGUGCCCGUUAUUUUUAUUUUUAUGGAUCCGGUCCCCGUGAGGGAGUUUUGACCACAACGGUGGCCGGGUGUCUUUGGUAGACACGGGGCCACCUAGGACUAGCCCAGUUGGGAGUGGGUCGGAGUGGCUGGGAGAGUGUCAUGACAAUAGAUCGGUUUUGUCGGAACGCCAUUGGUCCACCCGAAUGGGAGUGCGAGGCCACGGGUUCCGUGGUGUGGGUACAGUGUGCUACCUCUGCAGAGUGUAUAUUAAAUCUAGCGAUAGCCGCGCUCGCGGAUAAGGGCCCAGUUCGUGUCGGUCCCAUCGUGAGUCAACAGUACUAAUAAUAACUUGAUUAAUGACAACCCAGUUCGAUGAGGAGAUAAGUUGGUUGUGAUCGCCGGAAUGAUCACCGUUUGAGACCAAGAGUUGGUCAUGGUUGUGAUCGCCGAAAUGAUCACUGUUUGAGACCAAGAGUUGGUCAUGGUUGUGAUCGCCGGAAUGAUCACUGUUUGAGACCAAGUGUUGGUCAUGGUUGUGAUCGCUGGAAUGAUCACUGUGGUAUCGAGGAUACCGAGUUGUUGGAUAUUCGUGAUGUUGUGCGAGAAUCAUGGGUAAAGAUCAAGCUCCUUGUGGUCAUUUAAUGAUUACUAUGGUAUUGUUUAUACCAAGCUUGAUUUGAUCCUGAGAUGAUCGUGUGAUGUCCGAGGUUGGUAAGUGCUGCGUGUGAUGGUUACGAGAUAACCCGAGCAGAAUAAUUGGUGCAUAUAGUGUCAUCAUGUUGCAUGCUAGUAUCGUCAGAUUUAUAUGUUCAUGCCAUGCUCAUAUUGUUCUAGCAGUAUCAGGUUCAUAUUGCCUUUGGAUUCUUAGUGGCUAUUAUGAUUACUUUCAGGAUGGUAUCUGGUAUUAAUUUGGAGUAUUACUUUGGAUAUCAUGUGCUCAUGUCAUGUUGUUAUAAGGAUCUCAUGUUAAUUCCUGCUUAACCUGUAAUUGCCAUGCUGUUAUUUGUCUUGAAUGCUUCUGGUUAAUUGUGAGCUUGCAAGUACAUUCAAUGUACUGACCUGGCGUGUCAUGCCAACUUGCAGGUCGUGCCUAGAUUGCUUGCUUGUUUGGUGUUGUUUCUGUGUUCGCGAGCUAGGAUAAGCGUUCCAGCCAGAGUCCCUGCGGAGUGGAGUUUACCACCAUCGUCGUUGUUCCGCUACCAAUAGCUUUUCUGCUGCUAGAGUUAUUCCGCUGCUUCGAGUUGUUCUGCUGCUUGCAUAGAGCAACUGAGGAUGGCACAGUGUCGCCAUGCCGAUGUUAUUCAUUGUAAUAUCGGAGACCUUGUAAUUAUAUUCGUGUAAUAAUAGAAAGCUGGUUUGUUCUAUGCUAAUAGUGUCGUAUUCCAGAAGACUUCUCCUCGAUCUUUGGGCUGGAAUACGUGGCGUUCCGGUUUUCUAUGAGCCGGGUGCCACACCCUUUGCAAGGAACCGUUGUUG